rnacentral:rRNA from 1 species
CACGUAGGGUGCGAGCGUUGUCCGGAAUUAUUGGGCGUAAAGAGCUCGUAGGCGGUGUGUCGCGUCGGCCGUGAAAACCUGCAGCUUAACUGUGGGCUUGCGGUCGAUACGGGCAUCACUGGAGUUCGGCAGGGGAGACUGGAAUUCCUGGUGUAGCGGUGAAAUGCGCAGAUAUCAGGAGGAACACCGGUGGCGAAGGCGGCUUACUGGUCCGGUACUGACGCUGAGGUGCGAAAGCGUGGGGAGCAAACAGG